rnacentral:misc_RNA from 1 species
GAUGAAGAACGUAGCGAAAUGCGAUAAGUAGUGUGAAUUGCAGAAUUCAGUGAAUCAUCGAAUCUUUGAACGCACAUUGCGCCCUUCGGUAUUCCGUUGGGCAUGCCUGUUCGAGCGUCAUUUAAACCUUCAAGCUAUGCUUGGUGUUGGGUGUUUGUUCCGCCUCUGCGCGUGGACUCGCCUCAAAUUCAUUGGCAGCCGGUAUGUUGGCUUCGUGCGCAGCACAUUGCAAGCGAUUUCAACAGUCCUCCUUCCAUAAGCCCUUUUUUUACUUUGACCUCGGAUCAGGUAGGGAUACCCGCUGAACUUAAGCAUAUCAAUAAGCGGAGGA